AUUUGUUGCCAGCUUUCAGUCUGCCUCUUCCCCAAGACUAUUUGAGAUAGAAAAAGCUAAACCUUUCGAUGCUUUCAUAAUUUAAGGAGUAAAAGAAGUAAUAUGUGAUAGACCUGCCCCGAAGACCAGCUGAAGCCACGGGACCUGCACACGUGACCACUCGGGAACCAGUUGGACUUUCUCCUCCUCCCUCAAAUCCGAGCAAGAGCUCUGCUGCUUAAGCCCCAGGGCUGAACUUUUGUGGUAAAGGGGGCAAGUCAGUAAAAUUCUCCCUCUACGGUACUGAAGUGUAGACGACCGCAGGAUGAGAGCAGAAACUACCAAGAUAGUAAGACAGAAAGAGUUGAUUCCCUCAUCCAUCCAUCUGUGCAAUAUGUAAGAAAUUCUACUCUAAGACUUGGCACCAAAACUUUAUUCAUUCUCCUUAGAAAUUCUGCCACCAACCACUAUAAAAACUGUCAUUAUCUCUCAAAGUCACAGUCCUGACAUCUGUUAAGUAAAGGUUUAUUUUACACUUCAAAAGUCAAUCUACACAGCUGACUACACUCCU
ensembl:lincRNA